UGGUAAUGCCGGAUGCUCCGACUCCUCGCAUGGGGUGUCGGGAAAGAUUUCAUCGGUAUGGGAUGGGGUCGCGUCCUAUCAGGUAGUCGGCGGGGUAACGGCCCACCGAGCCUACGACGGGUAGCCGGCCUGAGAGGGCGACCGGCCACAUUGGGACUGAGAUACGGCCCAGACUCCUACGGGAGGCAGCAGUGGGGAAUAUUGCACAAUGGGCGCAAGCCUGAUGCAGCGACGCCGCGUGCGGGAUGACGGCCUUCGGGUUGUAAACCGCUUUUGAUCGGGAGCAAGCCUUCGGGUGAGUGUACCUUUCGAAUAAGCACCGGCUAACUACGUGCCAGCAGCCGCGGUAAUACGUAGGGUGCAAGCGUUAUCCGGAAUUAUUGGGCGUAAAGGGCUCGUAGGCGGUUCGUCGCGUCCGGUGUGAAAGUCCAUCGCUUAACGGUGGAUCUGCGCCGGGUACGGGCGGGCUGGAGUGCGGUAGGGGAGACUGGAAUUCCCGGUGUAACGGUGGAAUGUGUAGAU
rnacentral:rRNA from 1 species